UUUUGACCUCGGAUCAGGUAGGGAUACCCGCUGAACUUAAGCAUAUCAAUAAGCGGAAGAAG
rnacentral:rRNA from 1 species